rfam:Stegodyphus mimosarum contig55324, whole genome shotgun sequence.
GCCUUCGUAGUGCAAUGGUCAGCACGCUCGACGGGUAACCGAGAGGCCCGUGGUUCGAUUCCCGGCAAAGGCG